ensembl:miRNA
GCUGUGGGGAUCGGGCACUGUGGUUCCUGCAUGAAAACAGUGGCUGGUGGUGCCUGGACCUAUAACACCACCUCUGCUGUCACAGUCAAGUCUGC